GACGGAGGGUGCUAGCGUUGUUCGGAAUCACUGGGCGUAAAGGGCGCGUAGGCGGCCUGGAAAGUCAGAUGUGAAAGCCCGGGGCUCAACCCCGGAAUUGCAUUUGAGACUCCCUGGCUGGAGGUCGAGAGAGGAGAGUGGAAUACCCAGUGUAGAGGUGAAAUUCGUAGAUAUUGGGUGGAACACCAGUGGCGAAAGCGGCUCUCUGGCUCGAAUCUGACGCUGAGGCGCGAAAGCGUGGGGAGCAAACAGG
rnacentral:rRNA from 1 species